AUGAACGCUAGCUACAGGCUUAACACAUGCAAGUCGAGGGGAAACGACAUCGAAAGCUUGCUUUUGAUGGGCGUCGACCGGCGCACGGGUGAGUAACGCGUAUCCAACCUGCCCACCACUUGGGGAUAACCUUGCGAAAGUAAGACUAAUACCCAAUGACGUCUCUAGAAGACAUCUGAAGGAGAUUAAAGAUUUAUCGGUGAUGGAUGGGGAUGCGUCUGAUUAGCUUGUUGGCGGGGUAACGGCCCACCAAGGCAACGAUCAGUAGGGGUUCUGAGAGGAAGGUCCCCCACAUUGGAACUGAGACACGGUCCAAACUCCUACGGGAGGCAGCAGUGAGGAAUAUUGGUCAAUGGGCGAGAGCCUGAACCAGCCAAGUAGCGUGCAGGAUGACGGCCCUAUGGGUUGUAAACUGCUUUUAUAAGGGAAUAAAGUGAGUCUCGUGAGACUUUUUGCAUGUACCUUAUGAAUAAGGACCGGCUAAUUCCGUGCCAGCAGCCGCGGUAAUACGGAAGGUCCGGGCGUUAUCCGGAUUUAUUGGGUUUAAAGGGAGCGUAGGCCGGAGAUUAAGCGUGUUGUGAAAUGUAGACGCUCAACGUCUGCACUGCAGCGCGAACUGGUUUCCUUGAGUACGCACAAAGUGGGCGGAAUUCGUGGUGUAGCGGUGAAAUGCUUAGAUAUCACGAAGAACUCCGAUUGCGAAGGCAGCUCACUGGAGCGCAACUGACGCUGAAGCUCGAAAGUGCGGGUAUCGAACAGGAUUAGAUACCCUGGUAGUCCGCACGGUAAACGAUGGAUGCCCGCUGUUGGUCUGAAUAGGUCAGCGGCCAAGCGAAAGCAUUAAGCAUCCCACCUGGGGAGUACGCCGGCAACGGUGAAACUCAAAGGAAUUGACGG
rnacentral:rRNA from 1 species